rnacentral:rRNA from 1 species
GUUGUAUGGUUAAGUGACUAAGCGUACAGGGCGGAUGCCUUGGCAAUCAGAGGCGAAGAAGGACGUGCUAAUCUGCGAAAAGCUUGGAUGAGUCGAUAAGAGGCGUUUAAUCCAAGAUGUCCGAAUGGGGAAACCCGAUGGAUGAAGAAUCCAUCAUUUCAUUGUGAAUACAUAGCAAUGAAAGGCGAACCGGGAGAACUGAAACAUCUAAGUACCCCGAGGAAAAGAAAUCAACCGAGAUUCUGUGAGUAGCGGCGAGCGAAAGCGGAAGAGCCAGUAAGUUUUAGCUAGUGUAUUAGAGGAAUUGGCUGGGAAGCCAAAUCAAAGAGGGUGAUAAUCCCGUACUCGAAAAUACGAUAGUGGAACUAAGCUUACGAUAAGUAGGGCGGGACACGAGAAAUCCUGUUUGAAGAUGGGGGGACCAUCCUCCAAGGCUAAAUACUCCUGAUUGACCGAUAGUGAACCAGUACUGUGAAGGAAAGGCGAAAAGAACCCCGGUGAGGGGAGUGAAAUAGAACCUGAAACCCUGUACGUACAAGCAGUAGGAGCGAGGGCAACCUUGUGACUGCGUACCUUUUGUAUAAUGGGUCAGCGACUUAUAUUUUGUAGCGAGGUUAACUGAAUAAGGGAGCCGAAGGGAAACCGAGUCUUAACUGGGCGUUGAGUUGCAAGGUAUAGACCCGAAACCCGGUGAUCUAGCCAUGGGCAGGUUGAAGGUUGGGUAACACUAACUGGAGGACCGAACCGACUAAUGUUGAAAAAUUAGCGGAUGACUUGUGGCUGGGGGUGAAAGGCCAAUCAAACCGGGAGAUAGCUGGUUCUCCCCGAAAUCUAUUUAGGUAGAGCCUUGAGCGGACACCUUCGGGGGUAGAGCACUGUUUCGGCUAGGGGUCCAUCCCGGAUUACCAACCCGAUGCAAACUGCGAAUACCGAAGAGUGAUACUCAGGAGACACACGGCGGGUGCUAACGUUCGUCGUGGAGAGGGAAACAACCCAGACCGCCAGCUAAGGUCCCAAAGUCUAUAUUAAGUGGGAAACGAAGUGGGAAGGCUUAGACAGCUAGGAUGUUGGCUUAGAAGCAGCCAUCAUUUAAAGAAAGCGUAAUAGCUCACUAGUCGAGUCGGCCUGCGCGGAAGAUGUAACGGGGCUCAAAUAUAGCACCGAAGCUGCGGCAUCAGUUCUGUUGGGUAGGGGAGCGUUGUGUAAGCGGAAGAAGGUGGCUCGAGAGGGUUGCUGGACGUAUCACAAGUGCGAAUGCUGACAUAAGUAACGAUAAAACGAGUGAAAAACUCGUUCGCCGGAAGACCAAGGGUUCCUGUCCAACGUUAAUCGGGGCAGGGUGAGUCGGCCCCUAAGGCGAGGCUGAAAAGCGUAGUCGAUGGGAAACGGGUUAAUAUUCCCGUACUUGGUAAAGCUGCGAUGUGGGGACGGAGAAGGUUAGGUAAGCGGACUGUUGGAAAUGUCCGUUUAAGUUGGUAGUUGGGAGCGGUAGGCAAAUCCGCUGCUCCAUUCAACAACGAGAGAUGAUGACGAGUUCCUAAGGGAAUGAAGUUACCGAUACCCGGCUUCCAGGAAAAGCCACUAAGCGAAAGGCUUUACUAAACCGUACUGAAAACCGACACAGGUGGUCAGGUAGAGAAUACUCAGGCGCUUGAGAGAACUCGGGUGAAGGAACUAGGCAAAAUAGCACCGUAACUUCGGGAGAAGGUGCGCUUACAGUAAUUGUAGUCCCUCGCGGAUGAAGGUGAAGUAAGUCGAAGAUACCAGCUGGCUGCAACUGUUUAUUAAAAACACAGCACUCUGCAAACACGAAAGUGGACGUAUAGGGUGUGAUGCCUGCCCGGUGCUGGAAGGUUAAUUGAUGGUGUUAUCGAAAGAGAAGCUCCUGAUCGAAGCCCCAGUAAACGGCGGCCGUAACUAUAACGGUCCUAAGGUAGCGAAAUUCCUUGUCGGGUAAGUUCCGACCUGCACGAAUGGCAUAAUGAUGGCCAGGCUGUCUCCACCCGAGACUCAGUGAAAUUGAAAUCGCCGUGAAGAUGCGGUGUACCCGCGGCUAGACGGAAAGACCCCGUGAACCUUUACUAUAGCUUGACACUGAACAUUGAAUUUUGAUGUGUAGGAUAGGUGGGAGCCUUUGAAGCAGUGACGCCAGUCAUUGUGGAGGCGACCUUGAAAUACCACCCUUUAACGUUUGAUGUUCUAACGAAGUGCCUGAAACGGGUACUCGGACAGUGUCUGGUGGGUAGUUUGACUGGGGCGGUCUCCUCCCAAAGCGUAACGGAGGAGCACGAAGGUUUGCUAAUGACGGUCGGACAUCGUCAGGUUAGUGCAAUGGUAUAAGCAAGCUUAACUGCGAGACGGACAAGUCGAGCAGGUGCGAAAGCAGGUCAUAGUGAUCCGGUGGUUCUGAAUGGAAGGGCCAUCGCUCAACGGAUAAAAGGUACUCCGGGGAUAACAGGCUGAUACCGCCCAAGAGUUCAUAUCGACGGCGGUGUUUGGCACCUCGAUGUCGGCUCAUCACAUCCUGGGGCUGAAGUAGGUCCCAAGGGUAUGGCUGUUCGCCAUUUAAAGUGGUACGCGAGCUGGGUUUAGAACGUCGUGAGACAGUUCGGUCCCUAUCUGCCGUGGGCGUUGGAUGAUUGAUUGGGGCUGCUCCUAGUACGAGAGGACCGGAGUGGACGCAUCACUGGUGUUCCAGUUGUCUCGCCAGAGGCAUUGCUGGGUAGCUAAAUGCGGAAGAGAUAAGUGCUGAAAGCAUCUAAGCACGAAACUUGCCAAGAGAUGAGUCAUCCCUGACUUUAAGUCAGUAAGGGUUGUUUAAGACUAAGACGUAGAUAGGUUGGGUGUGUAAGUGUAGUGAUACAUUGAGCUAACCAAUACUAAUUGCCCGAGAGGCUUAACCAUACAACGCUCAAG